GGGGGUAUAGCUCAGCUGGGAGAGCGCUUGAAUGGCAUUCAAGAGGUCAUGGGUUCGAUCCCCACUAUCUCCACCA
rnacentral:tRNA from 1 species